GGAAAAACAAAAGGCAGUGAGUUCUCUCAGCCAAUUUCUCAGCCAAUUACAGGUCAACCUUCUCGUCUACCCCCGCUCACUGCUGCGCUUGACUGGUCUUUG
rnacentral:Y_RNA from 1 species